rnacentral:rRNA from 1 species
AGAGUUUGAUCCUGGCUCAGGAUGAACGCUGGCGGCGUGCCUAACACAUGCAAGUCGAACGAAGCACCUUUUGAGAUUCUUCGGAUGAUUGAUUGGUGACUGAGUGGCGGACGGGUGAGUAACGCGUGGGUAACCUGCCCUGUACAGGGGGAUAACAGCUGGAAACGGCUGCUAAUACCGCAUAAGCGCACGAGGAGACAUCUCCUUGUGUGAAAAACUCCGGUGGUACAGGAUGGGCCCGCGUCUGAUUAGCUGGUUGGCAGGGUAACGGCCUACCAAGGCAACGAUCAGUAGCCGGUCUGAGAGGAUGAACGGCCACAUUGGAACUGAGACACGGUCCAAACUCCUACGGGAGGCAGCAGUGGGGAAUAUUGCACAAUGGGGGAAACCCUGAUGCAGCGACGCCGCGUGAGUGAAGAAGUAUUUCGGUAUGUAAAGCUCUAUCAGCAGGGAAGAUAAUGACGGUACCUGACUAAGAAGCUCCGGCUAAAUACGUGCCAGCAGCCGCGGUAAUACGUAUGGAGCAAGCGUUAUCCGGAUUUACUGGGUGUAAAGGGUGCGUAGGUGGCAGUGCAAGUCAGAUGUGAAAGGCCGGGGCUCAACCCCGGAGCUGCAUUUGAAACUGCUCGGCUAGAGUACAGGAGAGGCAGGCGGAAUUCCUAGUGUAGCGGUGAAAUGCGUAGAUAUUAGGAGGAACACCAGUGGCGAAGGCGGCUUACUGGACGAUAACUGACGCUGAGGCUCGAAAGCGUGGGGAGCAAACAGGAUUAGAUACCCUGGUAGUCCACGCCGUAAACG